AGCAACCUGAAGUGUUCGAUAUAUCUUGAUAUUUUGAACCUACAUCACUUUAAACGGGAAUCCUAUAUCUUCAGACGUAUGUCAGGCCUCAUUAUAUCAGUGGAAGGCAGAAAUCUGUUUGCGGUAACCCACCUGGCUUAUUGCUAGGAGUCAAAAUUCAAGAGUCGGCAUUUCGGGGGCUU
rnacentral:other from 1 species